rnacentral:lncRNA from 1 species
CUAUUAUCAAGAUCAUUAUUUAGAAAUGUUUCUUAUUCUUAAAAACUAGUGCUAUCAUUUUGGAAAGAAUGUGAAGAUUUUCAGUUACUCAAGAACUGCUCUUGAUGACUGGAUAAAAAUCCUGAUCAAAGUCCCUACUUCCUGGGAGUCUUUACCAGUUGAUGGGAUCUAUUUGAACACUUUUCAAAUCCAGUCUGCUCAUUGAAGAUUUGAAAAGGACUACAAACAUGACCUUUACAACAAGGGUUUUCCAAUUAAUCCUACACAUUUAACACUUACACUGAUGACAUGUAGUAUACUACAAAGCUACAGUAAGCAAAGCAGCAUGGUACUGGUGUCAAAAUAGACAAGUAAACCAGCGGAACAGAUCAGAGAACCCAGAAACUGUUACACCUCUCUACAGCCAACUGAAUUUUGACAAAGGUAGCAACAGUAUUUACCGGGGAAAGGACAGUCUUUUCAAUCAACACUGCUGGCAAAACGGGAUAUUUACAUGCAGGGAAUAAAAUUAUACCCUCACCUCUCAUCCUAUGCCAAAAUCAACUCAAAAUAGAUUGAAAACUUUAAUGUAAAACCUGAAAGAACAAAUCUACUGGAAGAAAACAUAGGAGAAAUGCUCCAGAACAUUAAUCAGAGAAAAAAUUGUAUGAAUAAAAUCACAAAAGCCUAGUCCACAAAACCAAAAAUCAACAACUGGAAUUAUAUUAAACUGCAAAGCUUCUGCACAGCAAAGGAAACAAUCAAUGGAGUGAAAAGACAACUGACAGAAUGAGAAAAAAUAUUUACCAACUAUUCACUGGACAGGAGAUUGAUACCCUGACUAUACAAGGAAAUCAAAUAACUCAAUAACAAAUUAAAAAGAAAAAAAAACCCAAACAACCCAAUUAAAAAAUGGGCAAAUGAUCUGAACAGACAAUUAACAUAUGCCAAUUUACAAAAUAAAAUUGAAGUGGAAAAAGACUAUUCCGUAUAUGUAACAUAUUGAAAAUUGUAAGCUCUUUUUGGAUUCCAUAAUUACACAAAUAAGGUGGAAAUAUAGCUGCUAAGACAUAA